AUGAGUGACUGGUGCCUGGAGAGAUUAGAAGAAGGCGUCAAAUCCCUUGGAACAAUUGUGAGGCACCAUUUCAGUGCUGGGAACCACACCUGGUUCUCUGCAAGAGCAGUCAUCAUAACGCCCCAGCAUGCCAGGAGUCCAUGAUCAAGAGAGACGGUAGCGUACCUGUGGUAUAGCUUGUAUGCAUGUAUUCAUGUGCCUGUGCCUGCAAGUGUCCUUGGAACCUGAACUCAGAUCCUCUGCAAAAGUAGUAAAUGCCAUCAAUCAUCAAGCCACCUCACCAAUCCCUAC